AUGCUUGCUUGCUGGAGAUCCCUAUUCAUCUGAGGCCUUACAAGGGUCACUGCUGAUUUAGGAGAGUAUGGUAAGGCUUUUAAGCCCAACUGGCUGAAGAUUGACCCUGAGAGCUCUUUCUUGGCACCUACAAGCAGCCUGCUUUUUGGAAGCAGUAUGCUCCAGAUGUCACUGAUUUUGCACAUCUGGGAAGGAGAGUGCAACAAGGCUGGACAUCUGCCCUGUGAUCCCUGGAGCAGGGUUUUGCCUGCAGAUUACAACCUUGAAGACUUGCAGGGAAUCUUUGGCUGCAAAGACAGCAGAUGGAUGGCUGUGCAACCAGGGCCCAAGCUAAAAGCAAUGGCACUGGUUUUAUUUUCACAUUAGCAUAACUCAGCUGACUUCAGCCAACAUGAAUUUUACUGAUAUUAAUAUCAGUGAAGAAAUGAUCAAAAUGUAUCUGUAGGCAGUGGAUAUUUUACUGACUUCUUCUAUGUCCUCUUUAUCUCUUUUUUUUUUAGUUUAGUGUAAGGAGAUGUUAUAAAUUCUUGCUGUCCCUAAAGAAAGUCGGUAGCCUGGGAAUAUGCUGCUUUAUUUUUUAAUUCUGUACAAAGUAGUGGUGAUAUUUACUUGCGUUAGAUUUGCAAUGAACAUCAGUUUUGAUCUGUUUGUGUGGAUUUGGGGGUGGACACUGCUCAAACAUUCAUACUUAAAGCAUUGAAACUCUUUGUAACCUAUUGCAGCUGAGGUCAGAGCUACUCCUACUGAGAUAGAGGGUAAAAAAUUGGUGAGUGGGCGUGAACAGGGAAAAGACAGAAAAUGAUAUUUUUUAAAUAAAAUAAAUAAAUAAAUGCAAACCUUGGCAAUCUGUAUUUCACGUAAUU
rnacentral:lncRNA from 1 species